CCCUCCGAUUUUUCCCUCAGGAUAGCUAGAGUUGAACAGUUUUCUCAGGUAAAGUGAAUGACCAGAGGAAUCGGGGAUGCGUUGUCUUCGACCUAUUCUCAAGCUUUAGAUGGGUAAGAUCCACAGUGGGUACUUGAUUGAACUUCUGGGAUACAUGAACUGGCGAUGAGGCAUGAACCUACCGUCGGGCUAAGGUGCUUAAUUGCACGCUCAUCAGAUACCACAAAGGGUGUUGGUUCAUUUUGACAACAGCAGGACGUGGUCAUGGAAGUCAAAAUCCGCUAAGGAGUGUGUAGCUAUCCAUAGGCCCCUAAGUAGUUCCUUUUUGGGAUUACCUUCUAGGAUUCUAAAUAUAAACCAUAAAAAGGAACUACUUAGGGGCCUAUGGGUAAUGAUUAGAAUGG
rnacentral:ncRNA from 1 species